AGAAUCAACGCUGGCGGCGUGCCUAACACAUGCAAGUCGAACGCGAAAGCCCCGCAAGGGGUCAGUAGAGUGGCAAACGGGUGAGUAACACGUGGGUGAUCUGCCUCAGAGUGGGGAUAACGACCCGAAAGGGUCGCUAAUACCGCAUAACAUCCUGCCUUUGGAUAGGUGGCGAUCAAAGCCGGGGACCGCAAGGCCUGGCGCUUGGAGAGGAGCCCGCGGCCGAUUAGCUAGUUGGUGAGGUAAUGGCUCACCAAGGCAACGAUCGGUA
rnacentral:rRNA from 1 species